AUUGAACGCUGGCGGCAGGCCUAACACAUGCAAGUCGAACGAGUGGCGGACGGGUGAGUAAUGUCUGGGAAACUGCCUGAUGGAGGGGGAUAACUACUGGAAACGGUAGCUAAUACCGCAUACCAUCGGAUGUGCCCAGAUGGGAUUAGCUAGUAGGUGGGGUAAAGGCUCACCUAGGCGACGAUCCCUAGCUGGUCUGAGAGGAUGACCGGCCACACGGGAACGGAGACACGGUCCAGACUCCUACGAGAGGCAGCAGGGGGGAAUAUUGCACAAUGGGCGCAAGCCUGAUGCAGCCAUGCAGCGUGAAGGAAGAAGGUCUUCGGGUUGUAAAGCACUUUCAGCGGGGAGGCGUUACCCGCAGAAGAAGCACCGGCUAACUCCGUGCCAGCAGCCGCGGUAAUAC
rnacentral:rRNA from 1 species